CCCGUCGCGUCUCCUACACGAAAGUGAUCCCUGCGACCUAGCCGUCAUUCACGACCUCAAAAAUAUCUCUCAAAACGCAAAUUCCGCCGCGAAUGACCAACCUCCAAGGAUUCGCUCGCCAUCGAACUUCAAACGAGGCCACAAUACCAAUGGAAGAAACAAGGACGCUCUCAAGAUUUGCAGAAUCGAAAUAUAAAGAGGAGAAGAGACCUAUCGGUGCGAAGUGUCGUCAAUGUUCAUCGACCCUCAACCGUGGUGUAUUGACGAUGAAUGUUGGAGGUUCCACUCGCGCGCAAGCUUUGUCUUCGUAACGAACAUGCGGUUGAUGGUGAAGCUUUGAUUCCGAUCCGUGCUUGCGUUUGUCGAGAAGAUCUUCCUCGAAACUCCCCUGGUUCGAGCGAUCGUAAACAGAGCGAUGGCGAAGGUUGUUGUUAAUGGAAAGACAGUUCUGUUGAAUUUGGUUCCACAGUUGGAGAGAGUUCAAAAAGUUCUUCAAGAUUUCUGAACGCUCAUUCUGUUAUAGGUGGUUGCAGGUUUUUGUUCAGGGUGAUUGCAAGUUCUGUUUUGUUCUACAAUUGGAGGAAAUUGGAGUUCUCGGGUGAAGAAGCCGGUUAGGGUGAAGGAGAUUGGAGAGAAAAAGAUUCAAAAUAGAAGAGACUUGGGAGUGAAGAAAAAAUGGAAUUGAAGUAGAAGAUUAGGGAAGAACAAAGCAGGAAGGGAUUGAAGUAGUCCAACAAAAAUUGAAAAUUGGCGGAGCACGGUAUCAUGGAAUUAACCGAGGGAGAUCGGAGGAAUUCCAUUCUCUUCGCGUCAAAGAAGUGGACUCAAGGCCAAAAAACUUCAACCGAUAUCAAGAACAACAUGGAAAUGAGGCUAGCAAUUUGCAUCAAGUAAUGGAAUGAAAUCAUGACACCACGUUUAUUACGAUAAACUGAAGCAACUUACCAGAAUGAAGCAACGCGGAGGUUCCAGUGUCGUUCACAGGUUCGAAUCAGUUGGAAACUUCUAGAAAGAGCUGUCAAUCCAAUUAAUCAGGAAACCAUUCUGUCAGUAGAAGCUUGCCCAACCAAUUAGUAAGGGCGGAUUCAGGUUGUGGCUUUGAAUCAUGCUGUUGGAGGUUAGGUGGAUAUUAGAAAGGGCCUCCAACGGCUUUCUAGAAGCAUUCCAACUGCAGUUGCUGAUGAUUUUGCUCAGGUUAAUGGUUAAAUCAAUGGAAGCUAGUUAGUGAAACUGGUUAGCUAUAUCUAGAAAGCAGAAUGCAGAUUGGGCAAUAAAGUGCAGGUUGAGUUGGCGGUUAACUGAACUUACGUACAAAAAGUGGUGAUUCAAUUGGCGGUGUUAGGGUGAUGUACAGGUUUGGGAGCUUGUCGCCUUCCUGUGGAGUUUCGUUCUCACAAGUACUAUCGGUAACCGGGUUCCAAAUAGUGUCUGCAAAGUGUUUUAAUCCCUUGUGCAAGAAGCAAAAUUUGCAUCACCCUUACUUUAUCCCCAUUUGUUCCACCCAUCAAAGGCACAAUAAAUAUGUGUUGAAAAGAUGGUACCUGGUGUAUUUUAAUUUAUGGACAUGCGCAUGUGAAAUUAUUACGGAAUCUGUAAAGAACAAUAACGGUUGAUAUUUGUAAUGUACAGUUUGUGUAAUGGAUUUGAAAUGGUACAGGAUGAAUCAAGGAUUAGUGUUCAAAUUGAAUGCAACCAUGGCUGUAAUAUAUAAAUGAUAGAAUUGGAAUGGUAUUGUACAGGAAUUUCUUAAGGCUUUAGGAUUUGGUUUAUGGUUUGGACAUUCAUGAAA